GACGAACGCUGGCGGCGUGCUUAACACAUGCAAGUCGAACGGAAACGCCCUGCUUUUGUGGGGUGCUCGAGUGCCGAACGGGUGAGUAACACGUGAGUAACCUGCCCUUGACUUUGGGAUAACUUCAGGAAACUGGGGCUACUACCGUACAGGAGCUCCUGUAGCAUGGUGGGCGUUGGAAAGUCUCGGCGGUUGGGGAUGGACUAGCGGCUUAUCAGCUUGCUGGUGGGGUAGUGGCUUACCAAGGCAUUGACGGGUAGCCGGCCUGAGAGGGUGACCGGGGACAAUGCGCCUGAGGUACGGCGCAGACGGCAACAGGGGGCAGCAGGGGCGAGUAUGGCACAGUGGGCGGGAGUCUGAGGCAGAAGCGCCGCGUGCGUGAUGACGGCCUUCGGGGUGUGAACAGCAGUCGGCUGAGACGACGCGGGAGUGACGGUAAUGGGUGAAGAAGCACCGGCUAACUACGUG
rnacentral:rRNA from 1 species